GUGAGGAAUAUUGGUCAAUGGGCGGGAGCCUGAACCAGCCAAGUCGCGUGAAGGAAGAAGGAUCUAUGGUUCGUAAACUUCUUUUGCAGGGGAAUAAAGUGCAGGACGUGUCCUGUUUUGUAUGUACCCUGAGAAUAAGGAUCGGCUAACUCCGUGCCAGCAGCCGCGGUAAUACGGAGGAUCCGAGCGUUAUCCGGAUUUAUUGGGUUUAAAGGGUGCGUAGGUGGUUUGAUAAGUCAGCGGUGAAAGUUUGCAGCUUAACAGUAAAAAUGCCGUUGAAACUGUCGGACUUGAGUGUAAAUGAGGUAGGCGGAAUGCGUGGUGUAGCGUUGAAAUGCAUAGAUAUCACGCAGAACUCCGAUUGCGAAGGCAGCUUACUAAGCUACAACUGACACUGAAGCACGAAAGCGUGGGGAUCAAACAGGAUUAGAAACCCGUGUAGUCC
rnacentral:rRNA from 1 species